GAUGAAGAACGCAGCGAAAUGCGAUAAGUAGUGUGAAUUGCAGAAUUCAGUGAAUCAUCUAAUCUUUGAACGCACAUUGCGCCCCUUGGUAUUCCAUGGGGCAUGCCUGUUCGAGCGUCAUUUGUACCUUCAAGCUCUGCUUGGUGUUGGGUGUUUGUCUCGCCUCUGCGUGUAGACUCGCCUCAAAACAAUUGGCAGCCGGCGUAUUGAUUUCGGAGCGCAGUACAUCUCGCGCUUUGCACUCAUAACGACGACGUCCAAAAGUACAUUUUUACACUCUUGACCUCGGAUCAGGUAGGGAUACCCGCUGAACUUAAGCAUAUCAUAAGCGGAGGA
rnacentral:misc_RNA from 1 species